rnacentral:miRNA from 1 species
GAAAGUUAGUUUGGAUUUUUCU